rnacentral:tRNA from 1 species
UGAUAAAAAAAGGACUCUAACCUUUAUAAAAGGGGCUACAACCCUACACCUAUUCGGCCAUUUUACC